AUGGGGAACUGCGCCAGCGCCAUGGAGGGCCUCAUCCCGUGGGGCUGGGGCGCCAAGCCCGCAGGGAUGUCUGCGUCGAAGAGGACCACGAGCUCCUCCACCACCGCCACAACGGGGAAGCUGUCGACGGUCAGCACCAGCACAUUCAUGGCGUCGACGGUCAGCGGGGGCAGCACCGACGACUGCUACGAGGAGGAGGGGGGCCACAUCCUCGAGUCCCCGAACCUCCGGAUCUUCACCUUCGCCGAGCUCAGGGGCGCCUGCAGGAACUUCAAGCCCGAGACGGUGCUCGGCGAGGGCGGCUUCGGGAAGGUCUACAAGGGGUGGAUCGACGUGAACCCCGCCAAGGGCAGCACCGCCAUGGUCGUCGCCGUCAAGAAGCUCAACCCCGAGAGCGUGCAGGGGAUGGAGCAAUGGCAGUCUGAAGUGAAUUUCCUCGGGAGGAUUUCGCACCCCAACCUCGUCAAACUGUUGGGCUACUGCAUGGAGGACAACGAGCUACUACUCGUGUACGAGUUCAUGGCCAAGGGGAGCUUGGAGAACCACCUCUUCAGAAGAGGGGCCAUCUAUGAGCCACUGCCUUGGAGCCUCAGGCUGAAGAUUCUCAUCGGUGCAGCCCGUGGCCUCGCCUUCCUUCAUUCGUCCGAAAGGCAGAUUAUCUACCGGGACUUCAAAGCUUCCAACAUCCUAUUAGAUUCACACUUCAACGCGAAGCUCUCAGAUUUUGGAUUGGCCAAGCAUGGCCCAGAUGAUGGGGAGUCUCAUGUGACAACACGAGUCAUGGGCACGUAUGGGUAUGCCGCUCCGGAGUAUGUUUCUACCGGCCACCUGUAUGUGAAGAGUGACGUGUACGGCUUCGGCGUCGUGCUGCUCGAGAUGCUCUGUGGCCUGAGGGCGCUGGACCCGAGCCGCCCCAGCGAGAAGCUCAACCUGGUGAACUGGGCGAAGCCGCUCCUGUCGGACCGGAGGAGGCUGACCCAGCUGAUGGACAGCCGGCUCGAGGGGCAGUACCAUGCCAGGGGAGCCUUCCGCGCCGCUCAGCUCACCCUCAAGUGCCUGGCCGGUGAGCCCAAGAGCCGGCCGUCCAUGAAGGAGGUCGUCGAGGCGCUCGAGCAGAUCGAGGCGAUGAAGAGCAAGUCCAAGUCGAGGGAGGCCAGGCGAGACAGCCCGUCGAUGCCGCGUGGCCGGGGGAACUCGCCGAGGAGCGACGGCGCUAGGACCAACUCUAGGGGCAGAUGA
rnacentral:rRNA from 1 species